GCCUGGCAAAGUCACAGGAAGUAUCUCCAUGGCACCGCAUCAGCCCUCACAGAGCAGGAAACCUUGAUUUCUACAGAGGCUGUUUCCUCCCAGCCUUGUGCAAGGCCCACUGCAGAGACAAAAUUAUGGUGGCCAAAGUGUGAAUGCCAAGGCCACACUGGCCUCCAUCCCUGGGAUUUGCUGGUAGAAGAAAGGGAAUCAGCGCUGACUGAGCUCCUACUAUGUGCCCUUCCUGGGCCUGGCACUGGAAUCACAGGAUGAAUGAAUAAGGCAUAUUUCCUGCCCUGAGGAGGCGUCUAUAGGGGAAGUCGGAAUUAAGGCACCUCCAGAAUUCUGAGGUCAAGGGAAUGUCAACAGAGCUGUGAACAAAAUGCCCAAAGCCAUGAAAAUCUACAGAGAGAGACUCGAAGGGGAGGAAUGGGGUAGGAGCUGGUGCCGAGGAUGAGAGGGGAGAAUUCACCUGGUGGAGAACUGAUAGGCCAGGCUGAGGUCGGGAUGGUGGAGGAGGUGGUGGAGGUGAUGAGGUACCAGAGCAACCUCGAAGAAAGCUGAGAGGCAGGAGACCGCCAAAGGCAAACUUGGAACACCUGGUGACUCCGACUAACUCUCCAUGUGGUGUCCUUGAGGACUUUUAUGAUACUGCUACCACUGCUAAUAGUAAUAAAAGCCACUAUUUAAUGUGUUUACUAUGCGCUGGGUGUGCAAAUAUUGUGGAAAGAGUGAACAUAUGUGCAGAAUGCUUAAUAAACGUGAUCUCCUUUUAUCUUCAA
rnacentral:lncRNA from 1 species